UCCCCAGUGGCGCAAUUGGAUAGCGCGUGGUACUUAUAAUGCCAAGGCUGUGAGUUCGAUCCUCACCUAGGGAA